rnacentral:rRNA from 1 species
CUUUUGAUUAUUUUAGCGGCGGACGGGUGAGUAACGUGUGGGUAACCUGCCUUUUACUGGGGAAUAAUCGUUGGAAACGACGACUAAUACCGCAUACGGUUCUUGGAAGGCAUCUUCUAAGAAAGAAAGGAUUUAUUCGGUAAAAGAUGGGCCCGCAUCUGAUUAGCUAGUUGGUGAGAUAAUAGCCCACCAAGGCAACGAUCAGUAGCCGACCUGAGAGGGUGACCGGCCACAUUGGGACUGAGACACGGCCCAAACUCCUACGGGAGGCAGCAG